rnacentral:rRNA from 1 species
UACAGAGGGUGCGAGCGUUAAUCGGAAUUACUGGGCGUAAAGCGCGCGUAGGCGGCUUUGCAAGUCGGGUGUGAAAUCCCCAAGCUUAACUUGGGAACUGCAUUCGAGACUGCAUUGCUAGAGUAUGGGAGAGGGAAGUGGAAUUUCCGGUGUAGCGGUGAAAUGCGUAGAUAUCGGAAGGAACAUCAGUGGCGAAAGCGGCUUCCUGGACCAGUACCGACGUUCAGGCACGAAAGCGUGGGGAGCAAACAGG